rnacentral:rRNA from 1 species
GAUGGACGCUAGCGGGAGGCCUAACACAUGCAAGCCGAGCGGUAUUGUUUCUUCGGAAAUGAGAGAGCGGCGUACGGGUGCGUAACACGUGUGCAACCUGCCUUUAUCUGGGGGAUAGCCUUUCGAAAGGAAGAUUAAUACUCCAUAAUAUAUUGAACGGCAUCGUUUAAUAUUGAAAGCUCCGGCGGAUAGAGAUGGGCACGCGCAAGAUUAGCUAGUUGGUGAGGUAACGGCUCACCAAGGCGAUGAUCUUUAGGGGGCCUGAGAGGGUGAUCCCCCACACUGGUACUGAGACACGGACCAGACUCCUACGGGAGGCAGCAGUGAGGAAUAUUGGUCAAUGGGUGCAAGCCUGAACCAGCCAUCCCGCGUGAAGGACGACUGCCCUAGGGGUUGUAAACUUCUUUUGUAUAGGGAUAAACCUACCCUCGAGAGGGUAGCUGAAGGUACUAGACGAAUAAGCACCGGCUAACUCCGUG